UACGUAGGGUGCAAGCGUUGUCCGGAAUUAUUGGGCGUAAAGAGCUCGUAGGCGGUCUGUCGCGUCUGCUGUGAAAACUCAGGACUUAACCCUGAGCUUGCAGUGGGUACGGGCAGACUAGAGUGCGGUAGGGGAGACUGGAAUUCCUGGUGUAGCGGUGAAAUGCGCAGAUAUCAGGAGGAACACCGGUGGCGAAGGCGGGUCUCUGGGCCGAUACUGACGCUGAGGAGCGAAAGCGUGGGGAGCAAACAGG
rnacentral:rRNA from 1 species